GCGCACGUAGCUCAGUUGGCAGAGCGGUGGAAUGGUGAUCCACAGUCCCGGGUUCAAGUACCGGCGGUCGCC